rnacentral:rRNA from 1 species
GAUGAACGCUGACAGAAUGCUUAACACAUGCAAGUCUACUUGAACUUCGGUUUGGGUGGCGGACGGGUGAGUAACGCGUAAAGAACUUGCCUCACAGUUAGGGACAACAUUUGGAAACGAAUGCUAAUACCUGAUAUUAUGAUUUUAGGGCAUCCUAAAAUUAUGAAAGCUAUAUGCGCUGUGAGAGAGCUUUGCGUCCCAUUAGCUAGUUGGAGAGGUAACGGCUCACCAAGGCGAUGAUGGGUAGCCGGCCUGAGAGGGUGAACGGCCACAAGGGGACUGAGACACGGCCCUUACUCCUACGGGAGGCAGCAGUGGGGAAUAUUGGACAAUGGACCAAAAGUCUGAUCCAGCAAUUCUGUGUGCACGAUGACGUUUUUCGGAAUGUAAAGUGCUUUCUGUUGGGAAGAAAAAAAUGACGGUACCAACAGAAGAAGUGACGGCUAAAUACGUG